GUGCCAGCAGCCGCGGUAAAACGUAGGAGGCGAGCGUUAUCCGGAUUUACUGGGUGUAAAGCGCAUGCAGGCGGUUCGCUAAGUUGGAUGUGAAAGCUCCCGGCUUAACUGGGAGAGGUCGUUCAAGACUGACGAACUCGAGGAUGGUAAGGGAAAGCGGAAUUCCGGGUGUAGUGGUGAAAUGCGUAGAUAUCCGGAGGAACACCAGUGGCGAAGGCGGCUUUCUGGACCAUGACUGACGCUCAGAUGCGAAAGCUAGGGUAGCAAACGGGAUUAGAUACCCUCGUAGUCC
rnacentral:rRNA from 1 species